rnacentral:tRNA from 1 species
GAACGCGUAGCUCAGUUGGCAGAGCAUUGGGCUAGUAUUCCAAAGGUCGUAGGUUCAAUUCCCACCGUGGCCA